rnacentral:tRNA from 1 species
ACCGGAAUAGCUCAGUUGGGAGAGCGUUAGACUAUAGAUCGAAAGGUCCUAGGUUCGAUCCCGGGAUUCGGCA